UGUUUUUAUCAUCUUCUUCUU
rnacentral:siRNA from 1 species